rnacentral:rRNA from 1 species
AUUGAACGCUGGCGGCAGGCCUAACACAUGCAAGUCGAAUGGUAACAGGAAACAGCUUGCUGUUUCGCUGACGAGUGGCGGACGGGUGAGUAAUGUCUGGGAAACUGCCUGAUGGAGGGGGAUAACUACUGGAAACGGUAGCUAAUACCGCAUAACGUCGCAAGACCAAAGAGGGGGACCUUCGGGCCUCUUGCCAUCAGAUGUGCCCAGAUGGGAUUAGCUAGUAGGUGGGGUAACGGCUCACCUAGGCGACGAUCCCUAGCUGGUCUGAGAGGAUGACCAGCCACACUGGAACUGAGACACGGUCCAGGCUCCUACGGGAGGCAGCAGUGGGGAAUAUUGCACAAUGGGCGCAAGCCUGAUGCAGCCAUGCCGCGUGUAUGAAGAAGGCCUUCGGGUUGUAAAGUACUUUCAGCGGGGAGGAAGGGAGUAAAGUUAAUACCUUUGCUCAUUGACGUUACCCGCAGAAGAAGCACCGGCUAACUCCGUG